CAGUAGCCACGGUAAUACGGAGGGGGCUAGCGUUGUUCGGAAUUACUGGGCGUAAAGCGUACGUAGGCGGCUUUGUAAGUUAGAGGUGAAAGCCUGGAGCUCAACUCCAGAAUUGCCUUUAAGACUGCAUCGCUUGAACGUCGGAGAGGUGAGUGGAAUUCCGAGUGUAGAGGUGAAAUUCGUAGAUAUUCGGAAGAACACCGGUGGCGAAGGCGGCAACCUGGUCCUUGACUGACGCUGAGGCGCGAAAGCGUGGGGAGCAAACAGGAUUAGAUACCCCAGUAGUCCCUGUCUCUUAUAC
rnacentral:rRNA from 1 species